rnacentral:rRNA from 1 species
UACGGUAGGGGGCAAGCGUUGUCCGGAUUUAUUGGGCGUAAAGAGCGUGUAGGCGGCUUUGCAAGUCCGUUGUGAAAACUCGAGGCUCAACCUCGAGACGCCGGUGGAAACUGCAAAGCUAGAGUCCGGAAGAGGAGAGUGGAAUUCCUGGUGUAGCGGUGAAAUGCGCAGAUAUCAGGAAGAACACCCGUGGCGAAGGCGGCUCUCUGGGACGGUACUGACGCUGAGACGCGAAAGCGUGGGGAGCGAACAGG